rnacentral:rRNA from 1 species
ACAGAGCUAUCAGUAUCGAGGGCUUCCCCGAAACGGCGACAGUGACAGAGCAAACGUCCCAUGUAAGCUGGUCAGCCCACUGGUUGGCCCAGGGACACUUCUGAAGAGGCUUACUUGCAGGGUUUAAUGAAGGUGCGAGAAUAGUUGGUCCCACUAUUCCAAUGGGUCGAAGCGCCUUCGUAGACCUUCUAGGACGAUCAGAUGCAGAGGUGUCUCGCAGGACGACAGCGGGCUCAGGGUGCCAAACCUUCCAGUGGUUCCUUGACUCAGCUUCUUGUUGCAGGAUACUUGGCUCCUUAUCCUUUUUUCGGUGUGAACUCAGGAGAUCGACAUGGUAGUGGUGGUUUCAGCCUCCUCUUAUCCAAAGUUCCCUUUGCGCCAAAAAAGAGAGGACCCAAUGGGAAAUCUGCUCACAAACACUCACUCCAUACGUGGACCAAUCACGGACCACAGUGGUCCCAGGCAUUCAGGACACUCUAGACUCUCUGGCACCCAGGAUGUGUAUUGGGAACAGACAUACCAGCCCACAUCCUGGAGGCACACACACAAGGCAUGCAGAAGCCCGCAAAAGCUUUGGGUUUUGUGGGAAAGUGCAUGACCAAAUAAGGACUAACCCGGGUCGGCUCGACCUGGGGAAGGUGAAGGGGCAGAUGGCCAAAGGACAGGACAAAGAACCUUGUGACAUGGCCAUUUUGGAGCCAGGCCAUCUAUUCGUGCCAAACGCGGUUAAUGCGGUUAACAUGGCAAAACAGGGUUUGAAACAUAAGAUAAACAAUAGCUGCCACCAGUCCUGUCCGUGACAUACCUGCACAGUUCAUAAGUCCAGUGAGAGUUUCUAGGGCCUUUGGAAUGACUAGAGACCCAAGUGUACUGUAAGGUAAGUUGCAUCGUACACCUGUUACAUGGUGCACAAAAGCUGCAACAUGAGGAAAGGACUAAGGGAAACAGAGUCUCCCAGUACUGACUGUCUUAAGGGCAUGUCAGUUUCCCCAUAAAAAGUGAGCGAACGCCCAGAGGAGUGCAGCUGAGGGCUGUGCUUCUCUGGCAAAGUUUAGUUACAGGUGUAUAACAGCAGCAAAAAGUUUGGGGGUUGACACAUGGAGGGAAAAUUACAUUCAAAUAUGAAAUGUUUCCUAACAAACUGUUAUUAGAAGGUGAUUGUGCACAAUACUUUGGACGCUAUCCUGUGGUGCACCAACCCGGUAUCUAGCGUGAGCCUCGUGCCGUUCGGGAUAAGUUUUCCUUACUAACCUUCCCUCCUUUUGUCGUUCUUUCCUUAUUUGGAUUACUACAAAGACUUGUUGGCGGAGCCCCAGUUGUCCGAAUCUACAGGUUAGUGUUGUCUUAGUUGCUAUUGCUGUGCUAUUAGUGAUAGUUUAUGUUGGGACAAUUCCUCAUUAUACUUUAUUGUAUCCUAGGCUGACUUCCAAUGAUUCUCCCACGCCCUUUCCAGAGAUCCCUCUCUCUGCCUGUUUUAUUAGUCAGAGAGUUGUAUCGUUUGGAAGGUCUAUUUUUGACUUCGCUACAGUCAAGCCAUUUACCUCAUCAAGGAUCCGGAAGAGCCCUACCAAGUGUAUCCUUUAUGGUUAUACCUGUAUCCUUUUUCAUAAGAUACUUGGGUGAUUUAUCACACAAAGUGAAGAAAUUCAAUGAAGUGCGGAUAAACAGCGGGAGUAACUAUGACUCUCUUAAGUUAGCCAAAUGCCCUGUCAUCUAAUUAGUGAUGCUCAUGAAUGGAUGAACGAGAUUCCCACUGUCCCUACCUACUAUCUAGUGAAACCACGGCCGAGGGAACGGGCGAGUCAGAAUCAGCAGGAAAAGAAGACCUGGUUGAGCUUGCCUCUAGUCUGGCACUGUGAAGAGACAAGAUAGGUGUAGGAUAAGUGGGAGGCUCUCAGGCCGCCAGUGAAAUACCACAACUCUUAUUGUUUUUUCACUUACCCUGUGAGGUGCGGGGGGGGCGCACCCCAUGGUGCUCUCACUUCUGGUUCCAAGAGCCUGGGGACAGUGGCAGGUGGGGAGUUUGACUGGGGUGGUACACCUGUCAAACGAUAACGCAGGUGUCCUAAGGCGAGCUCAGGAAGGACCGAAACCUUCUGCAGAGCAGAAGGGCAAAAGCUCACUUGAUAUUUGAUUUUCAGUAUGAAUACAGACGGUGAAAGUGGGGACAUGCAAUCCUUCUGACUUUUUGGGUUUCAAGCAGGAGGUGUCAGAAAAGUUACUGGAUAACUGGCUUGUGGUGGCCAAGCAUUCAUAGUAACGUCGCUUUUUGAUCCUUCGAUGUCGGCUCUUCCUAUCAUUGUGAAGCAGAAUUCCCCAAGGGUUGUAUUGGUCACCCACUAAUAGGGAACGUGAGGUGAGUUUAGACCCUUGUGAGACAGUUUAGUUUUACCCUACUGAUGAUGUGUUGUUGCAAUAGUAAUCCUGCUCAGUACGAGAGGAACCGCAGGUUUAGACAUUUGGUGUAUGUGCUUGGCUGAGGAGCCAAUGGGCGAAGCUACCAUCUGUGGUGUUAUGACUGAAUGCCUCCAAGUCAGAAUCCCCCCUAAACUGUAACGAUACCGCAGCGCUAUCGAGCCUCGGUUGGCCUAGGAUAGCCAGGCGGUGCGUAGAGCCGCUCGCCUCAGGACUCGAGUGUGGCCAGAAGGGGGCCACCUCUCUCGCCUGUAGUGCACCGCAUGUUCGUCGGGAACCUGGUGCUAAAUCAUUCGUAGACGACCUGAUUCUGGUUUAGGGUUUCUUAAGUAGAAGAACAGCUACCUUGCUGCAAUCUAUUGAAAGUCAUCCUCUGAGCCAAGCUU